rnacentral:misc_RNA from 1 species
GGAAGGAUCAUUACCGAAUUGCCAACAUGAGUUGUUGCUGGCCCUCAAUGGGGGCAUGUGCACACUCUGUUUGCACAUCCACUCACACCUGUGCACACUCUGUAGUUCUAUGGCCUGUGGGGCUCUGUCCUCCUGUGCUGUGGUUCUAUAUCUUUACACACACACACUGUAAUGAGGUAUCAUGGAAUGUAUGCCGCGUUUAACGCAAUACAAUACAACUUUCAGCAACGGAUCUCUUGGCUCUCGCAUCGAUGAAGAACGCAGCGAAAUGCGAUAAGUAAUGUGAAUUGCAGAAUUCAGUGAAUCAUCGAAUCUUUGAACGCACCUUGCGCCCUUUGGCUAUUCCGAAGGGCAUGCCUGUUUGAGUAUCAUGAACACCUCAACUCUCAUGGUUUGCCAUGAUGAGCUUGGACUUUGGGGGUCUUGCUGGCCUUAUGGUCGGCUCCUCUCAAACGGAUCAGCUUGCCAGUGUUUGGUGGCGUCACAGGUGUGAUAACUAUCUACGCUUGUGGCUCUCUGCCAGAUAACCUUCAGCGAUGGAGGUCCACUGGGGCUCAUAAAUGUCUCUCCUCAGCGAGGACAGCUCUUUGAAUGUUUGAUCUCAAAUCAGUAGGACUACCCGCUGAACUUAAGCAUAUCAAUAAGCGGAGGAAAAGA